GCCAUCUUGGCAUGGCCUUCUCAUCCCACCACACAUCACUACUUGAUAUUUUUAUAGUUUCCUUUUUUCCUUAAGCAGGUCCAAACUGGUGAAAGCUCAAUCUGCCUUGAAGCCAGAUGUACUUGAAUUAUGGUAAGUGAAACACCAAACCAUUUAAAUUGGCAAAUAUAUUAAGGAUAUUGGCAUUACAAAAUACCGUUUGAUAGGGAAAAUGUUACAUGAACUGAGACAAUGCCUAU
rnacentral:lncRNA from 1 species